GUUUUAAUAGUUUAUAAAAAAUUCUGGUCUUGUAAAUCAGAGAAGAUUUAAAUCUUAAAACU
rnacentral:tRNA from 1 species